UGGCUGAACAGCGGGGGCGGGGCUAAGACGGCUCCAAGGCAGGCAGAGAAGCCCUACAGCCCAACGGACGCGAGCAGGGCACUCGUUGAUAGGCUGGGUAAUCAACAACAAGCGUGAUUAUUGCAGCCGGGAGUGAAGGCACUAAGGAAGCCUGGAACCAAUUAAUUGCUCCUGUAGAGAAAACAGCCCAGGGCUGGGCUCUGCUGCUCCCUGGUGCUUUGUGAGAAAAGACGAAAGACGGAUAGGAUUCUAAGACAGUGCAUUGCAGGCUUCCAGAGUUUUGUGUCCAGACCCCGAACAACGGACCAGUCCUCAAUCAAUGUGUGACAGAAGAGGACGAGAACAGGCUAUGAAACAAGCAGACCUGUGAGAGAUCACUUACUGCUGGGGGAAUCCUGUAGGCUUUGGAUGAUACGUCAGUGGCUCAUGGCUAAGCAUAGAGGGUAAGUAAGCUAACAUGAUGUAGACAGUUGGAAAGAAGAUAAGGUGAAGGGAGGAGUUCUUAGUCGCAGUGAAUUUAAUACUGGGAAUUUUCGGCACCAUGGCAUUUGGCAGGGAAGAUAUUUUGGGCAGUGGGGAUUGGGAUAUGUCUCCAGUUACACCAUAUGAGGAGUUGCUUACUCUUCUGUUUAUGGGUCCAGGCUUGUCUGUCUAGGGGCAUGUGAUCUGCAGGUGUUGAUGGGAAGGUCAGAGGGAGGAGGGGAGUGAGCAAGAGGCAGACAGGGAGAGAGAGAGAGAGAGAGAGAGAGAGAGAGAGAGAGAGAGAGAGAGAGAAAAGCUUUCCUAAGGCUGACUGCUCAGGGAACUUAACACCUCGGAGUAUGUUCUAAAGGAACUGCUCAAGACCUUUUAUUAAUGCAUAGCUUUUCACCUUUGGCACAGAGGAGAAAGCUCUGGAAGAUGUUCCACAGCACUGCACCAGCACUGUGCAGGAAACAUCUAAGGAGCUCGCUGGCACACUCAGUGUCUUGUUGGGCAGCCUUUCCUACCGCUUCUUUACGACCACAGAAAGCUGCUGUCCUGUGGAAUGGAAAACCAGAAUCAAUACCCGAUUACAGCAAAGUUCAAUGUCAUUCGGCCUGAUUCCACCGACCUCCGAAAAUCCACAAGGGGCAGGAGCUGAAAUUGAUGACCCUGAGGUCUCCAACUCAGAAUCCAACUUCUUGGGCUGCUAUCCAUAGGCUUUGAAUGGCAUUAAUCACCAAUAAUCACAGUUCCGGUAUUAAUAUUGCACAGUGCCAGAUAUUUCCCAUAUACAUAUCAUUUCAUCUUCAUAGCAACCCCACGAGGUGAUUAUUACUCUUUUACAGAGGAGAAAACUGAGGCUUAAGAUAACAUUAGCAUGUUAUCCCAUAUCUCAGGGGAGUGGGUGUCUGUGGUGUGUUUAGAUCUGGCCUUCGUGAUCUAAGUCUGUGCCACUGGGGCAGAGUCCAGAGAUCAGAGUCCGGAUUGGGGGUGUGAGGGAGAACAUGAGAUGGCACACGAGGUAAAGCCUGGUCAUCUAGGAAUAGGCAGUCCACAGCCCAGGACAGCCUUUCUCAGCCCUCUCUUUGCCCAGCAAGGUAGUGAGAGCACCGGAGACCUUUGUAUCUAGAAUUAUGUUCAACACCGCCGACUUUCGGGUGAGAAAGCAAAGGUGCAGAGGUUUGUUGUUGUUCAAAGAUUCACACAGCAGCUUGGAGAUAAGGCUCGUAUUGCUGCCCAUCUUUCUGCCCUCAGAAUGGAAUUUUGGCCACUCUACCUGGGUGCUUUUCCAGCCUUGCGUUCUGUUCUCUUGACGAGGAAGCAACGUGUUUACAGUGGAAGAUGAUGGGGCACGUCAUAGAUAAGCGAGCUAAUAAUAACAUUUGCUACGAUUCAUCAAGCACCUGUGAAACCCUGCCGCAGACACUCCAUAGGCAGGCUCUGUAAUUUUCACCGGAACUUUGCAAAAUCUGUAUUGUUGUUGGGUGGAGAGGUGGGGGCCAGGGGUGGAGAGGGAUUAGCCAAAUGAGAUUGAGUUCAUGAUUUUCCCAUUGUCCAGUGUAACCUCUGCAAUAAUUUCUCCCUCGUCCUAGAAAACCAAAAUCUCUGAUUUUUUUUU
ensembl:lncRNA